rnacentral:pre_miRNA from 1 species
UAGGUUUGUGCUAAGUUAAACUUUCUUCACUUUGACCAAAUUUAUAGAAAAGUUUACUAAUAUCUACAACAUCAAAUAUAUAUAUAGCAUGAAAAUAUAUUUUAUAACGAAUCUAAUGAAACUAAUUUGUUGUUGUAGAUGUUGAUAUAUUUUCCUAUAGACUAGGUCAAACCUAAAAAAGGUUUGAAUUAGAAUGAAACUAG